rnacentral:pre_miRNA from 1 species
AUGAGGCAGACCAUGGGUUCUCAUUGUAAUAGUGUAGAAUGUUGGUUAACUGUGGACUCCCUGGCUGUGUCUCAA